AUUGAACGCUGGCGGCAGGCCUAACACAUGCAAGUCGAACGAGUGGCGGACGGGUGAGUAAUGUCUGGGAAACUGCCUGAUGGAGGGGGAUAACUACUGGAAACGGUAGCUAAUACCGCAUACCAUCGGAUGUGCCCAGAUGGGAUUAGCUAGUAGGUGGGGUAACGGCUCACCUGUGCGACGAUCCCUAGCGGGUCUGAGAGGAUGAACACCCACACUGGAACUGAGACACGGUCCAUACUUCUACGCGAGGCAGCAGUGGGGAAUAUUGCACAAUGGGCGCAAGCCUUAUGCAGCCAGGCCGCGGGUGUGAAGAAGGCCUUCGGGUUGUAAAGCACUUUCAGCGGGGAGGCGUUACCCGCAGAAGAAGCACCGGCUAACUCCGUGCCAGCAGCCGCGGUAAUUC
rnacentral:rRNA from 1 species